rnacentral:misc_RNA from 1 species
CGCCCCAGAACCAGCCGCCGGCUCCACCUCCGACGAACGACGCACUCCUCCCGCUCCCACCAAUUCCAGUGCUAGCUUCAGCGAACACGAUCCAUUUCCCAGCGCCACCAACGCUCCUGCUGCUGCCACUGCCCGAGGCAGAGAAGAGCAUCAAUGAGAUGAGCAACAGCGAAAUUACAGUAAAGCCCCUUGGUUGUUCUUGCUUCUGCUUCACCACCAUCACCAAAGUGAGAACCCUUGAGGCCUUGGGGCCAGGACUUUCCCCUCUCUCUCUCUCUCACUUGGUGGAGCUUUAUUUUACUUUCUUUC